AACUAAACAUGUAGAACUAGUCGUAGAGCGCUUCUGGACGCGGGUUCGAUUCCCGCCGCCUCCACCA
rnacentral:tmRNA from 1 species